CAUAAAGGAGGAUUAUAGAGUUUGUAACCGAUAAGAAAUAGGUGCAGCUUGUUUAUAAAGUUAGAGAAAAUUAACGAGAGGGGUGGGGGAUCUAUCUCGGAACUCAGGAUCUCGACUGGCGUUCCUAGAGGAUUAUUAUUAAACGUGCGACUACGAUCAAGAUGGCCGGUGAGAAGCUCGUCCCUUGUCCAGAAUUUCAAUUCUCGACAACAGCUUGUUAUAUCUGCAAUGGGUACUAUGGCCCAUGCUUCGAAGAGCCUGUUUGCGCGACCUGUCACGCAUUUUUGUUUCCCAAUGAUAUUGGAUUAUUUCAAGUUCCGAUAUUUAGCGAGAAAACUGACGACGAAGAUUCUGGAAAUGACGAACCGACAGACCUUUAUUACAAUCACGAACGAAGAACGAGCCAGCAACAACAAAAUUCUCCGCAAAAUGUGAAUUUCAAUGUAUUCAAUAAUCAGAAUCCACCUGUCAAUACAUGCGCGAACGUUGAAUCAUUUAGAAUCAAUUAUGAAAGGAAUUUGGAAAGGUUGCAAGAAUAUCAGCGCCGUCAGGAUAACUGUUUGCAGUACGAACAUGAAGUUGGAGAACCUUCUAGGCCUUAUAAUUUGUCAUAUAGAUUGGAUAUGUUGACGAAUCAUAAGCAUAUAGAGCACGAGCCUAUCAACGUGCCCGGUCUUGUAGAGAGCCUACCACCUGAGGUUCUUUUGGCCGUUUUCUCUCAUCUAGACGACGUAAGCCUUUGGUCGGCCGCAAAUGUUUGUCGCAGAUGGUGCGGCCUAUUGUCGACCCACGUAACGGCCCAACAGUGGCAGCUACACGUGAAGAUGCGUUGGCCGUUAUAUAGACCCAUUGGAUCGGUUAAAAAUUGGUACAAAGUGUACGAUCAGCUUGCUUCUUCUGCCCCCUGUAGAACGUGUUUAGCUCAAACGUCAUUACGAACGAGAGCUCCGAGAAUGGAGGAAUAUUAUUGGAGGCGAAAUAGACUACUAAGCGAACUGAAAAGUUUAAGAAUGGAUCCUCCGGAGGGUAUAGAAGCUACGCCUUUGGAUCAAAUGUGCUGUCAUUGGCAGGCUACGAUUACCGGACCCGUGGGUAGUCCUUACGAGGGUGGAUUGUUUUAUUUAUACUUACAAGUACCAUACAGUUAUCCAAUGUGCCCACCUGUCGUAAGAUUUCUUACCAAAAUCUUACACCCGAAUGUUUCAAGGCACGGAGACGUUGGUAUAGACUCUAUACAUCACAAUUGGUCUUUGGCUCUUACCAUAUCGAAGGUCCUCAUUAGCGUGCAAAGUUUACUCACUGAUCCAUACUGUCAGGUAUGUAUGGAACCAGAAUUAGGGGAAAUGUAUAUGAACGACCGUGAAAGAUUCGAAGAAGUAGCCAGGACGUGGACGUGGCGGUACGCGAUGCACGACGUUAUAACACCACCUUAAUAUAUCAAAAAAUAAGAUAUUAUCAACGUUAUCAUUCGUAAAAGACUGAAUGGAUUAUCGAUCGAGACGUCGACGAAACGUGGUACUCUCAAGAGGACUCCCCAUUUUACUUCGGUCAACCUGAAAAGAACAAUUUCGAUGGCAUCUUUACGACUGACUAAAACCACGGAAAGAAAGUCGCGCAGCUGUUAGGUGGAUCCUUCGUCGAAACAAAAGUUAAAGUUGAAAGCUGGAAGGAUUGAAGCUACCUCUUACCCCUCCCUCUCUGAUGUCUUUUCAUUUUCCUAGUCAUAAACCAACAGCCGACGUUCCUGAGGUCGGUGGUGCGUUUCGCGAGGAGAUCCGACUGCAACGGCAUAAUUAGUAGAGGAUUCUUAGGGAAUCUCUCUCUCUCUCUCUCUCUCUCUCUCUCUUCUCUCUCUCCUCUCUCGCUCUCUCUCUCUCUCUCUUUUGCUCUUUCACUAGCUAAACUCGAGCAUCUUGCUCUUUCGGUAAAACGGACGAUAGUCUCGAGAAGGUCGAGCUGAGAGAGCUCUAGCCCGAGUCAAGGUGGGUGGUCCGCGCGCACGGAGCCUGCGGGCUCUCUCUCCCCCUCUCUCUCUCCCUCUCUCUCUCUCUUUCUCUCCUUACCUCGAAUACCUUCUUCUCCGUCGUACACACGGGGGUCCUCCUGCCGUUCUUGGCUACGUGUGUGGCCAACACCAGCAUCCUUCUCUUUCUUGCUCCCUUUUCUUCUGCCUACCACCUAUCUUCUUUCCUUCCUUUUCCGCCCUCUCCCUCAUACACGCGCACGCUACCUCGAUCCUCUUCGGUGUGCGUGCGUGCGUGCAUGCGUGUGUGUGUGUGUGUGUGUGUAUGUGUGGCGUGCACGGGAGAGAGUCUACCUCUACCAAACGCACCAAGAGCAGCAAUACCUUUCCUGUUUACGAAGGUCCAUCGUCGCGUUGGAGGAGGCCAACGAAAAACGAACGAACGCCAUGAAUUCUACGAUACGACGAUACGGUUUUCUCUCGUAAGCUCUCGAGAACUUGGAGACUUUCGAAUCUACUCGUUUGUCUCACUCGCGACGCGACCCCGUGAAAGAGGGCGGCCAAGUCACGAUACUCUUUCUCUCUCACUCUCCCGGAUUCGUUCUCGCGAAUUUCCAAGUACCGUGUUGCUAGAAAAGAGACAUUGUCAUCGCAGAUAAUAACAGCGAAUUUGCGGUAGAGAAAGAGAGGAGAUAAUGGAAAUGUCGAUUGGAAGGUAGCUCUAGGGCAAAAGAAAGGUAUGUUGAAAUCUUAGAAAUUCUUGGACCAUAUUACUUCCACGCUAAUUACUUCCACGUCUCGUAAAUAUCGUUUACUCUCGAUAAUUAUAGCGCCGGCGGGCGAGGUUCGUGCAAAAUAUCCCCCUCGUAAAUAUCGGUCUUAUUCUUAAUUAUAAUCGCGAGAGCGCUCGUUAACGAGCCGAGCUUUAGCAACGAUAUUAUACUUUAUAGUCCGUUUGUUCGAGCAAUUCGAAAACUUCUUUAAUCGCGGAGAGUAGCCGCUGCUGCGCUACCGAGAGGAUCGUUUCGCGUUUGGGAAAUACACCGAAGUACCGUGAUGAUGUGUUCAGGUAGAGCUUACACCGGCUAUACGAUAUCCAAGUCUGUUAAAAGAAACCGACGUGUGUGGCCAAGUGGUCGAGAGCACCACGCUGGAUCCGUAUAGUUGGUCCACAAUAACAGCUGAUGCUCAAUAGAAUGCCCCAUAGCCCUUCGCCUCCGACUCUCUCUCUCACACACACACUCACUCACUCACUCACUCACUCACUCACUCACUCACUCACUCACUCACUCUCCGCUACCUUUUCCUCCUUCCUCGGUAUUAAGCACUGCUCUUCACACUCUCGCGUCUCUUAUUUUCUUAUACGUCUACCUACUCAUCCAAGGUGAGUGCUCUCUAUUCGUAUCCUACUUUCUUUCUACGUCGACCUAUCAAGUUUUUUGAUAAUAUUGCCCCCCCCUCUCUCUCUCUCUCUCUCUCUCUCUCUCCUCGGAAUCUUAAAGGAGAGGAGAGAGAAUUGUUUUGAAAAUUUAUAUCCAAAGAAUUGUUAGACAAGCAUUGUUACGAUUCUUCGUGAUCAUCUCAGUUUACAAAAUGAGCUACGCGAUCGUUAGAUAAUAAUCGUCUUGGUCGUGCACCUGUCCGAUAUCGAGUGGCCCCUUGUGAUCUUUUAUUUUGUCCCUUCGCUAACUGAACUGUCUGCCUGCCUCUGCCUGGCUGGCCUUCUUCCUUACGAGCAACUCAUCGACACACGGUGGUAAGAAAUAUAUUUAUUAUUUAAAUUAAAUACUCUCGAUUGUCCAUUGGUAGAAAAAAAAUGAUGCGAUAGUCGUAAAAUAAUUAAAAGUAACUACAAUAGAUAAAAAUAAUUUACAGUCGUUGUACCUUCGUUACAUUCUCGUCGCCCGUUACAAGUCUUUUUGAUAACGCUACCCGAUAUUUCGUUAGUUUUCAUUUUUCGAGAGAGUCUUAGACAAUGUAGCAUCGAAAAAGUUCCUUUUUUUCUUAUUUUCAUUAAUAACCAAUAUCGACCAAUAUCCAAUGUUAAUGCGACUCUUUUUACGCAAUCAUCCUAAAUAAUCCGAAAGUUCUCAUUAACCUCUUUAUCGUUCGCAUUAUGAAAGAAAGGAAGAAACGAAGAAGAUGAGUAUUUCCGCCGUUACGAAUAGAUACGAUUACUUCGAAAGGCAUACGUAGCUUGGUAACUCGCGCUUAAUUUCGCACAAUAAACGUACAAUACAUCGUAUGAUUCGGACGAAUGUACGCUCGUCGUCUUAUGUUAUCAAUUGACAGGUCUUUAAAACAUAGUGAAAAAACGGUGGGAUACAUCGUCGAUGAGAAAGUUUGGAGAGUUGGAAUAAUGAAAAGAAAAAAAAAUCAAAUGGAAAAGUCUUUCGCACCCUUCAAAGGGGAAGAAUAAUCUUCGCGAUUGCGAUCAAUGUUCGGUCGUACUUUGUCAUAAAUUAAGAAUAAUAAUAAUACUUAUAACGCAACAAUAUUAAAAACAAAUAUCCCUAUCUGUUACUAUAUAAUACAUAAUCAAUGUACAACGCAAAACGGUCUCCUUGCUCCUCGGUCAAUUUUCUUUGCAGAAUUUUUUGGAACACGCGGUUGACUUCUAUCGGAAAUCUUUGCGUCUUUAACGCAAAGCGCAGUCUUCGAUUAGGAUACUCGGGGACAAAAGCGGCAGCUUUAUCUCUGGCGGUCGUCCUCUUCAUGGACCGCGUCCGGCGCUUAUUCUCGUAAACAUUCCUAGAAAAAUGCUCUUUGGUCGUUCACUCGCGGAAUACUGUACUGUACUUUAUUUGGACAUCUCGUCUUGCCACUCGGUGGUAGUACUCGGCAUCAGUCUGAAAAAUACAAUACGCUAGACCGUCUCUUGUUCUUUUUUUUUUUCUUUCUUUCUUCCCCCCUCCCCCACCCCUUAACAUCUCUCUCUCCGUUAACAUCUCGGCGUCUCAUAGUUCUCUUGGCGCUCGAUGGUACGCGAUCGCAGUAGUUCCACAUUCGUACAUCUUUCAUGUGAAUUCUCUUGAAACCAGCCAAAAUGAACCAAUUGCGCGUAAUAUCCAACUACCUAUGCGCGCGAUUAAAAGUUAUUUAGAAGAUAAGUUGGUGGAUUACCUUGGCUCGCAAAAAGAAUGAGCAAAGUGAUGGACAUCGCCAACGUCGUCCUGUCGACGAAAGGACGAACGGUCGUGGCCUCGUUCGGCACCUCGUUCCCAAGAACGUUCGUCUCCGUUCGAACGAUCUCGUUCGUUCUAGUCCCGUCGACGACUUUUUUUACUUGGCGAUAAUCGUGAUGAAUCCUACCGAAGCAGAGCGUAUUCAUAUUACGAUGGAUCCCCUUGCAAUCGUAUUCCUCGGAACCGUCGCAAAGACAGGUACUGAGCUUCGCCGCCUUUUCUUGUCGCGUCAGUAUGUUGAUCGAAUUUCUACAUCUAGAGACGAAUGAGCGAAUCUAUUUUAUAUAUUAUAUUUGUCAUCGACAAUUUCUGCGAGAGCCCAUUCGAAUAUUACUUUGAAAUGGGCCCCACCGAUAUCUACUAUCGCCUUUUCCCUUAUUCUCUCGAUUGGAUCGAAUCGAAGAUACGUACCGGUGAGUGCACUUCUUCCCGUGGAACAUGCUCUUGCAGAAUUUGUUGUAAUACGACAGAGCCGUUUGACAUAGGGCAUCCGCGUUACAUAUCCACGUGGCUAUCCUGCAGGAUACCCUCGUCCUGUUCAUGGCCGUCGUCACCGACGAUCUACAAAUCUCGACCCUCUGCUUCGAUUGUUGACAGAGCUCGUCGUCUCGCGUGCAUUGACACUGAAAAUAUUUUCCAUCGACAUUAUCGAAGUUAUAUUAUAGGUAUCUUUAGACAUUAGACGCAUGGAGAUAUUUCUCCACGUUCUCACCGUCAUGAGCUCCUUUCCCUCGUCGGUACUGGUCAAAGCGAUGAGCGCGUGCUGACAAGCGUCGGAGCAAUUGUCACCUUGCAAAACGGAGGCGCAACCGGUAACGUAGUGUUGAAGAGCCAUUCCACAUCCGGUUCUAUAAGCGCACCUAAGUCUCGCGUCCUCGCAACGCACGGAACUGGAUCUUGUGCCGGCUAGCAUCGUCGUUAACAGCAUCGAGACCAGGACGACGUCCAACCGAUGCACCCCACGAGACAUCCUGAGGAAGAAGAAACGAGAUAAUCCAAUCAUCAUGAUUAUUUUUAUACUCGCUUUGAGCGUCGAUCCAAAGAUCGACGCUCGAUCGAAUUGGCCUUUUUUUCUUAAGUAAAAAAUAAAGUAAGAAAUAAUAAAGUUUAACGACUCGCGGCGCUCGUCCUCAAACAUUACGGGAUAUCAUUCCUAAGAUUUCCGAGGAUUUCAUCCUCGCUCCUAGAUCUCGCCGACUAUGAAUCCAUUCGAUGGUCGCGUUCGACGACCCAAUUUUUAUAUAUGUUUACAUUACGUUUCACUUACUGUCUCUAACUAAUCCGAUCAAGUGUCUCUUUGGACUUUGAUAUUCCCGAGUAUAUUUUCAGCUCGUUGUUUCAAGUAAGGAAUACAAAAGACGCUUAAGUAGGUUCUUCCGUUGCGACCGAGAGAACGCGCGUCCCUCGACGUGCGGGGAGCCAAUUAUCGUUCGAGUUCAACCGCUCGUACCUUGAACGGUGACCGUUGAGUUUCCUCGCCUCGACUAUUACGAAUCAUAUAGAAUUUCUUUCGAUUGUUUUUCCUCUCUCCCCCUCUCUCUUCUUUUCUUCUUCAUUCCGUUAGAUAAUCUACUAUCUAGAACGUCGUAUCUCGCUGGCCUUGCAACAAUAAGGAAAACGAAUACGCUUUUACGUAGGUGUCGAUGGUUGUUGUAUCCGACGAGCCUGAGAAAAUACAAUUCCUCCAGUACCUAGAUACGAGUGGGUGGGAACUUACGAGCGGUUCGCAUUAUCGAGUGAAAGCUAAAUAUAUGUACGUUUAUCUCUCUCUCUCUCUCUCUCUCUCCCUCCCUCUUUUACGCUCAUAGUCGCGAUCGUAGCGACUUACAUAAUUCUCGAUAAACACCGCUUAUGGCUUAUCGACUUUACUUUACGAUAUCGAACUUACUUUAUUGGACGCUGACUUCUUUUUGGACGAGCGAACGAACGAUCCUUUUGCAACUCGAGCUACAGGCUCGAUUAUAUCUUGAUGUCUCUCAAAGUGUUUGAAAGCCUUUCGGAAAAUACGAGCGAAAUGUUUCUAUCGUUUCGAACAAGCUCAGCGUGUUUACGCGUUUAGAAAAGAAAAAAAAAAAAAAAAAAAUAUAUAUAUAUAUAUAUAUAUAUAUAUAUAUAUAUAUAUAUAUAUAAUAUAUGUAUGUAUGUAUGUAUGUAUGUAUGUAUGUAUGUAUGCAUAUAUCAUCGAGCGUUUAUUCGACGACGAGGUAAACGGCAACUAGAGCGAGAAACACAUACCAAAAAAUGACGACUAUCGGACGUCGGACUAUCAUGAUGCGACGCGGAAGAAGGCUUUAAUCGUCGGAAGGUGUCGGAAGAAGAAGAACCUUUUUAUAAGCGAAACGCAAUUUGCGCUUCGUCGCGUCGGGAACGCACGAGAAAGAAGACGUGACAAAAAGUCCUAACGAGAUCUUCGUUCGAGUGACAUAGGCGGGCGAAGAAAGCCUGGUUUAUUUUAAGAAUGUCGCGGAAUGCAAAUUUACGCGGCGAGAUCUUCUCUCGCGUCAAAGAAAACUACGAGCUACAUGAGUUUUUAAAUUUGCAAACUAUUUACGACUACAAGUCUAACGAGAAUACUAUGUCGCAACUUUUAUGAUAUUCGUUUUACUUUCUAAAGCUAAAGGAACGAAAGAGGGGAUAUACAAUUUUCGGGUUUCUCUUUUUCUUUGCUUUUUCCAAUUAGCUUGCAUCUCUUCGUUCCAACUCGAACACACGAUUAUUGAUAUCCAUAUCGUUAGUACCGAGUAACUGAGCGAGCGGUCAAAGCCAUCGGUGCAUUGCGCUGCAACGUACAAAACUAAUAUAGAGAUAAUAUACAAUAUAAAUAAUACAUAGGGGGUAUACGGUGGUAGAGCUCGCAAAGCACGCGCUAGCCGGCAGCCGGUUCGGUAAUGCGCGCUCGUCCAAUUCAUUGCCAUUACAUGAUAUCUAUUACGAUAUACGUCCAAUGCUUUAGACGUAUUUUAUUUAAUCAUUCUCGUAAGGAGCGCGUAAAGAUUUCUUUUCGAUCGAUCGAUCGAUCGAUCGAUCAGUGGUCAGCUGUCGUAGCAUCUGUUCGAUCAAUCUCGAAUUUGGAAACGGAAUCAGUUUUUCGCAAUAAUUAAAACUCGCUUUCAGAUUCGUCGCAACCCAGUCGCUUGGUGAGCUACGAUACAAGGAAGCGCUCGAAAUGCGACUUUUUAAAGGGGAAAAAUUAGAAACACGUGUAGCCACGAGCAAAGUAAUAACUAUAAUUAAUCUUGUAACGUUCCGAACGUAUUCAAGAAAAUGGACAGCGAGCUCUUUGUCCGAAUCCGUUCGAAGAAACUGAUUUCUCUCUUCCUCCUUCACUUUUUCUUUCUUUUUUUCUUUUCGUCUCAUUCUCUCUUCGUGCUCCAGGCAUCGCGAUACCAACUUGGAGAACGAGCGAAGCGUCUAACGGUCUGAGAACCUUCUUGCCAACCUCCGGUUACAGAUCCCGAUAUCGUUUCGUAGAAACGAAAAAUAAUGAAACGCCGAAAAUCCUCGCUUAUCGAUCGAUCAUUUUUAUCUUUAUUUUUCUAUAUACGCAUGUAUUUCAACGCUUAUCGUUCUUACUCGACUAAAUGGAAAAAAUUCAUGCGGCAACUAAAAAUAUACCUUACUUGGACUCUUCCUUGAAGCUUCCAAGGAGCACGCGAGAAGCUCGGAACACGUGACAUACAUAACGGAUUUCGACUCUGGCUGGCGGCCAGAAUUAGAAAAAGAGCGAGCACGUUCUCGAAAUCUUUCGAGGGCCAGGCGAAGAAGGCUAGAAGGCUAGAAUGGAAAAAAAGAAGGAAGACAAGGAGAGAGAGAGAGAGAGAGAGAGAAAGAGGGGCGGGAGGAAAUAAAAACAGGAUCUCUCUCUCUCUCUCUCUCUCUCUCUCUCUGUUUGCGUUUCGAUCGGAUGCAUCGACGCUACUCGUAGAAGCCGAGUAAAUAAUUUCAUCAGGUUUCGUUUAUGCGACGAGUUAAUAUUUACGGAACGAUCACUUCGAGGUCUCGCGCUAAAAUACACAAGCUUGAGUGUAAACACGAUCGUAAGAGAGCAACGCGUUACGCAACGACUCGAAAGGACUCGCUUUGCGAAUGAGAAGCCCGUUCUCUUGUUUGUUUACGUCUCCGUACAAUCACCCCGUAUCACAUUCGAUCGAUCGCGACGACGAUACAUCUUAAUAACGAUUUCCUCGAUCGAAACGUAGAUCCCAACGUAGAGCUUGCUUUUACCUAGGGCUAUCUUCCAGAGGAUAAUAUCCCUUAAAUCCUUUCUGAAAAAAGAAGAAUCCUCGAAAUAAAGUUCGAAGGAUGAUCCUGCAAAUACGUACAUCUUGGAAAUUCUUUUCGAACGAACGUCGAUCUAGAAAAGGAUCUGGGUCAUGUCGUAACGCGUAUGCCAGUUUCAAACUAUGCACUAUCGGACAGUAAUUUAGGUGCAGCGGGCCGACCGAACGUGACGCGGGCCUUCGAGCGUACAGGCCCAAAAUGGACCACCAAGACACAUUUUAACGGACGUGGCAACGAGGGACAGAUGGCCAGCCCCAAUAGCCCUUCUCAGUGAUUACCAACUUGGAAUACUUCCUUCCUUCAUAUAUAGAUAUGGCUCGUAACACUCAUUAACUCAGUGAUCGCCAACUCGAAAUUCAUAGUCCGAAGAGAACAUCGUGAUCGAGCGUUGCUUCCGGGUUUCGAGGAGUCGUGACAGAAAGUCGCCAGGUCCUCUAAUCCGCCCCUUCUAACGGUUCACGAAGCGAUGCUUUUAUCUUUACUUUUUAUGUUCCAAAGAGAGAUCGAGGGAGAUAAAGUCCUCCUGGAUAAAAAGUCCUUAUGUUGGAAAAUGAUUGGCCGCGAGUCUUGUACGUAGAGCGUAUUUGCUGCCCCUUUAUACCAGGUGCCAAGCACGAGCUGGACACGCUCGAGUAACAUAAGAUAUUGCUCGCUACGUAUCUUACUCUUUCUCUUCGUGGAUAUUUGAAAAGGCAAAAAGCAUCGAUAUAAAUGAGAACGUGAGAGAGGAGAAAAACGUCAAAUAGAUUCUUCAACGUCUCACUACGUUCCCCCUUUCCUUUUCUAAUAAUCUCGAUGCUCCUGAGAGUACAAUAGGGCCGAACCCUUCUCAGAGUCGUUAUACGGUAGGUCGUACGUCUACGUCGAGCUCCUCUGUCCUAUUCCCUUAAACUUCUCAACUACGAACCUACAUCCUGUUCUAUCGCGAUAACUUUUCCCCUUCUGAAGUUAGAAGUUUUAACGAAUAGAAAAGUUGAAGGUGGAGAGGCUUGCCUGGUAGAGUCCAGGCGAGCCUUCCUAGAUUCAUCCAAGGAAAAAGCUGCUACGUCGAGCUUCUAUGUCUUCAUAAAUUACUCUUCUACUACCCGGACCCUUAGAAACUCGUUUCUCGCCCGUGAUCCUCACGGUUUUCUAUUCGUUUUUUCUCUCCGACGAACAGGGGAUAUUCGAAGAAUAUCUAUUUUUCUUUUUCCCUGUCUCUGCUUUCUCAAUUGAUUUAAUUUUCUCUCUCUCUCUCUCUCUCUCUCUCUCUCUCUCUCUCUCGGUCGAAGAACCUACGAAGGACUAUUAAUCGCUUUAAUAUCAUCCUACGCGAUGGUAGAGAAAGAAACGUCGUCAUUUCCGACUGAGCAUCGGUUUUCGCUUCCAUUGCCUCUAGACUUGGCUCGAUCCUCGGGCGAGAACCUCUCUCUCACGAUUGAGCGAGUCGUCAUUAACGCGUGCCGCUCUUUCUUUCCCUCUCUUUCGAAAGAUCAUUACUCGUAAAAAAAGAAAAAGGCAAGAAAUAUUUUAAUUGCAAGAAAAAUUCUCACAUUCUAGAUCGUUAAUAUAAUCAUCCUAGGAUCCAAAGGUUGAUUUUUCGAUGAUUCGCGGGAAUACGACGAAUGUGUCGUUGUUGGUUGAUCGUUAAGAAAGAGGCCCGAGUCACGAUCGAGUCAAUGCCACGCGAGUUCGUUAGCACAGGGACACAUAAAUCUAUGACACGAAGUGUCUUGGGCGCUAAUGAGCGGACGACACUACCAAUUUCAUCUUCCUAUUACCUUCUUCGAACCGCCUGAAAGAAAGGAGGGAGGAUAGCCUUUUAUCGUUUACGUUCUAUACGCGGUCGCGUGUCUCUCCGUCUCCGUGCGUUUCAACGUAGGAUGUAACACACUACUACGCAGGAUGAACGUACUACUCUCGGAGGCAGGUGAUUUUCAACAUUGUCGAUGCUCAGAGCGCAAGAAGGGAGAGAAAAGUCAUCGUCCUUUCCUUUCCUUUCGUUAUCGUUCGUUUCUCGUUCUAAGACUCGCGCAUAAAAAUUCUACCGACAUUUUAACUGCUCGAGUGCCGAGAUCUAUAUCUCGAGAUCUUAAUUAUGUUGAAAGCUGUUUUUUACUUAUAUUAUUUUUAUUUCGGUGGAAAAACUCGUUUGCAUUAAACGAGGUGAACGAUGAUGCGAUAAAUAUGAUUUGAAAGUACUCGGAACGUACGCCUACCAAGAUCCGGUUUACGAAAUUCUCUUUAUCAUAACUCCUAUGCCUUUAUUUGCAAUUUAUUAUCCGCGGGUACCUAAUUAUCGGCGAGUACUAUGUCGCAAUACAAAAUUAUAUUUAUUUUUUCUACGAACAGUCGAAGUACCCGUUAUCGCAUAUUCGCCUUGAUGAUCGCUCAAUCGAAGGCAGACCGAACGGUAUCCAUUCGCCCGUCGCUCAUUCACUGCGAUCUAUACGUACUUGGGAUUUGAUUGGGGCUGGUACAGAAUAAAAGAAAAAGAAAAGUCUCGACGAUAGUUUUAAGUUUACUAUCGCAACAAAAUCGAUAAUCCCCUAUUCUUCCUUCCGUUAUUCUCAUAGAAUAUCGAUUAUCGAAUAUCUCUCGCUCGCUCGCUCUCGUAAACGAUAAACGCGCGCCGAAAUUUGAAACGAGCGUGAGAAACAGGAGAAAGCGCGUACGCAACGUAGUAUUUUUCUUUUUGUUUUUUGUUUUUUUUUUUUUUUGUUUUUUUUUUUUUUUUUUGUUUUUUUUCAACGCGAAAAGGAGGAAACGAUUGAAAGGCAAUUGAAAUGCUAUCUCGAAUUCCUAUCGAAGACAAAGUUAUCAAAAUUCACAUACCUUUGUAUAUUCUUUCGACGAAAACUACACGAUUAUCACAUCGUGCUCCUCUCGAUACACUUUCACACUGAUUCCCUAAAAUUCCGUUCUCUCUCGUUUUUCGCGUCCGUUUGUUAUAAUUCUAUAAAAUGUCUUGUCCCUUCGUUUCUCUUUUUCUCUCCAUCCUUCGAUUGUUCUUUCUUCUCUUCCUCUUUCUCUUAUUUAUCUUCCUCGUCUUCGUUUUCCUCUUGUAGUUCAAUUUAAACGCGUAACGGAAAGAUCGACGCGAAGAAGAAGUUUGAAUGCGAAAACAUGCGAAAGAUAAACGAAAGAACGAAGAGAGAGAGAGAGAGAGAGAGAGAGAGAGAGAGAGAGAGCGAAAAUGUAUAUAAUAUAGCUCUAUGUGUAAAUGCGCGCGUGUGCACGCGCGCGUCUGUGUGCAGAGAAAGGAGAGAAGAGAAGAGAUCAAAGAAAACAAUGACGGAUAAACGGAAGUAAAGAGGGAGAUAGAGGGAGAAAGAAAGAGGUAACGAGACGUUCGCGCACGGCCGCAGCCUCUGAGUUACUAGAUUGAGUUGUGACGGCUCCGAAGCCGAAGGCCUCGUACUCCGCCCUCCGCCCCACUCUGUCCUCCACCCACAGGGGUCCAGGGCACCCCAACCUGCGUUUCUUGGCUGAUUGAGACACCAGCCUGCUUCCAACACUACUUACUUUACCCUCACCGACAUCACCGAUUCCUGGCCCCUCGACCGUUUGCUCGCUCUCUCUCUCUCUCUCUCUCUCUCUCUCUCUCUCGCUCUCUCUCUCUCUCUCUUCUCCUUCUCCAUCGACACGACUCCACCCCUACUUUGCUCCUACUCGUCUCCCUCUCCGACGACGAGCUCAACGGGGCCUCCGAGGGGUCCUGUGACUCUCAACCGAGUUCUUUUCCCGAGUUUUAUCCCUUUUCCGUUCUCUCGAAUCUGUCAUUUUCGACGUUAUCGAAUGAAAUGGGGAAAUUAAUUUAGAAAGGAAUUAAAAGAUGAACCUUUGAAAAGAAGCCCCUGAAACUUUUCGAUUUUAUCAAUCAACGAAAGAGAUUGUAAAUACAAAUAGAUUUGUUUCUCGAUACUCGUCGAUCUUAAAAAGGAUAUUUUCAUUGAAAAAUUCUUCUUGAUAAUAACGUUCGCAAUGCUCGAAGAGAACGUUCGAGAGCUUUUCUAAAGACGAUGAUUACGGUAUUGAGAACCACGGUUCUACUACUUCGCUAUCUCUUUUUAGUAAGGCGCGUAGGGCCAGGACAAUGGUCCCAAGUGAAGGAAAGCAAAGUAAACUUUAGGUAAGAACUUGGACUUGGAAGUAAGGAGCACCGAAAGUGAUAGGUCUUUGGCCCAGUUCAACGAUGUCAAUGGGACGUGUAAAGGGACGAUGGAAGAUAAGAAUGAAAGAUAAGAAAAGGAUCAUGACGUAAGGGCGCAAAGGAGGAAUAAAAGGAAGACAUAUUAAUUUAGGAUCUUCGUUUUAUCAAGAUCAAAGGAAACGAAAGAAUCUUCUCAGCGGGCUUUUGGGACUCGAAAAGUUUCAAACAUACAUUAUCUACGAUGAUAUAUCGUCGUGUAGACGAAUUAUCCUUCCCUUUUUUCUUUUUUUACACGUGGAAACGGGUAGAUUCGUUAGGAAAGUACAUCGGUACUUUACCUACCGUCGGAUCUAUUUGAAAUGAAUCCUCCUUUGAAGAAAAUGUUUCCUUUGAUUCGAUUUUAAACGAGCGAUGAUAAAUAAAAAGAGAAAAAGAAAAAGAAAGAGAAAAAGAAAAAGAAAAAGAAAAAGAAAAAAGAAAAGAAAAAAGUAAAAAUAUGAGAGAAGGACCGAAGGAGAAGAGAGGAAACGGAGAGGUACGAGACAGGGAACACCUCCUGACAAAUGCCGUAACACGACGGGAGUUCUUAACGCGUAGCCUCGCUUCUGUCAAGCGAAUCUCUCAGCAGGGUGUUCGCUUUUACGAAAUCGUGCGUCCUGCGACGUGGUCUUCUUCUCCGAAAGAAAAAGCAUACGUUACGAGAUAAUCAGCGGCGUUGUUCCCGACCAAAGCGUGAAUCCGAAGAAUAUGUGAUAAUCUUCCUAUAUGGUUAUAUCUUUCAUAUUUACUUUGUUAAUUUAGCCCAUCUACCGAGACACGACGAAUUUUUCAAGAUUCAUUUGAUCGUUUCCAUGAAGAAACGAAAUUGGCCUCUCUCGGUAAUAAUAAAGAAGGAUCGACGAUUUUCUA